rnacentral:rRNA from 1 species
AUUGAACGCUGGCGGCAUGCUUUACACAUGCAAGUCGAACGGCAGCACGGGCUUCGGCCUGGUGGCGAGUGGCGAACGGGUGAGUAAUGCAUCGGAACGUACCGUGUAAUGGGGGAUAACGUAGCGAAAGUUACGCUAAAUACCGCAUACGCCCUGAGGGGGAAAGUGGGGGACCGCAAGGCCUCACGUUAUACGAGCGGCCGAUGUCGGAUUAGCUAGUUGGUGGGGUAAAGGCCUACCAAGGCGACGAUCCGUAGCGGGUCUGAGAGGAUGAUCCGCCACACUGGGACUGAGACACGGCCCAGACUCCUACGGGAGGCAGCAGUGGGGAAUUUUGGACAAUGGGCGCAAGCCUGAUCCAGCCAUGCCGCGUGAGUGAAGAAGGCC